CGGACGGGUGAGUAAUGUCUGGGAAACUGCCUGAUGGAGGGGGAUAACUACUGGAAACGGUAGCUAAUACCGCAUAACGUCGCAAGACCAAAGAGGGGACCUUAGGGCCUCUUGCCAUCGGAUGUGCCCAGAUGGGAUUAGCUAGUAGGUGGGGUAACGGCUCACCUAGGCGACGAUCCCUAGCUGGUCUGAGAGGAUGAUCAGCCACACUGGGACUGAGACACGGCCCAG
rnacentral:rRNA from 1 species